rnacentral:tRNA from 1 species
GCGCGGGUGGCGGAAUGGCAGACGCGCUAGCUUGAGGUGCUAGUCCUGGAAACGGGGUGAGGGUUCAAGUCCCUUUCCGCGCACAA